GGCUCAGGACGAACAUAUACUAUCCUUUCCUGUGGACUUGUCAAUGUGUCUAAACCGCUCUUCCGCGAGUGUUGCCCUCUCUCACUGUCCCGUCGCGCCAAAUUCACGCCCUUCCCGAGUUUGUCUCGACAGACUGCAUGCCCUCCGGCUCGCGCAAUGCUCACUCUGUUCCCUCUUUUCAUUGGGUCCGUUAAUGCUGAGAAGGCAGCGGAUCGCCCAUGAUGACGACCUUUGACCCCAUUGCCACCAUCAUCCUCAUUUGGGUUCCCCUUUUUGUCCGAAAAACCGCCACGGUGACCGAAAAAGACUCGUAUGUCUGGUUACCAUAUUAUAUUCGCAAAGUAGCAGAGCAGUUCAUUUAUACGAUCAAACUGACGUGCAGGCAUGAGAGAACGUGCUUUGUCUGAUGCAUGGCACGUUAACACCGCAGAAAGGGGUGAUGGUGUUAUGCUGUAUCGCUUGGGCUGUGAAAGUUUCCGCAUCGAGCGACCACCUCAGCUACUACAACAGCCAUCUAUGAUCUGAUGGAGAGCGAUGGGGUCAUUUUCAGCUUAGCGACAGUCACACAGCCAGAGUUUGGGUCCUGGAUGACGACGACAGCUGGCCUUCCUGGUUUUCUGGCGGACAGUCCCAUGGUCGACGGAGAUUGUGCCAUGCAAUUAAUGUAUGCAUCGUGG